GACGAACGCUGGCGGCGUGCUUAACACAUGCAAGUCGAACGGAAAGGCCCUGCUUUUGUGGGGUGCUCGAGUGGCGAACGGGUGAGUAACACGUGAGUAACCUGCCCUUGACUUUGGGAUAACUUCAGGAAACUGGGGCUAAUACCGGAUAUGAGCUCCUGCUGCAUGGUGGGGGUUGGUAAGUUUCGGCGGUUGGGGAUGGACUCGCCGCUUAUCAGCUUGUUGGUGUGGUAGUGUCUUACCAAGGCUUUGACGGGUUGCCGGCCUGAGAUGGUGACCGGACCACUUAAGAUUGAGAUACGGCCCGGACUCGAACGGGAGGGGGCAGAGGGGAAUAGUGCACAAUGGGCCGAAGGGAGAUGUAGCAAUGCCGCGUGCGGGGUGAGGGGAUUAGGGUUGUAUACCGCGUUCGCCUGUGACGGAACGUGAGUGACGGUAAUGGGUAAAGAAGCACCGGCUAACUACGUG
rnacentral:rRNA from 1 species